GUUAGGAAUAUUGGACAAUGGGCGCAAGCCUGAUCCAGUCAUGCCGCGUGAGUGAUGAAGGCCUUCGGGUUGUAAAGCUCUUUAGCCGAUGAUUAUAAUGACUGUAGUCGGAAAAUAAGCCCCGGCUAACUUCGUGCCAGCAGCCGCGGUAAUACGAAGGGGGCGAGCGUUAUUCGGAAUCACUGGGCGUAAAGCGUGCGUAGGCGGUUUUGUAAGUUAGGAGUGAAAGCCCAGGGCUCAACCUUGGAAUUGCUCUUAAAACUGCAAGGCUCGAAUCUCGGAGAGGAUAGCGGAAUUUCCAGUGUAGCAGUGAAAUGCGUAGAUAUUGGAAGGAACACCAGUGGCGUAAGCGGCUAUCUGGACGAGUAUUGACGCUGAGGCACGAAAGCGUGGGGAUCAAACAGGAUUAGAAACCCCAGUAGUCC
rnacentral:rRNA from 1 species